AUACGUCCCCGCCGACGCCGCGUGAGGUUCUGGAGGGGACGCCGCCGCCGCGAGGUAUUGGAGACCCUUGUUGCACUUGGUCGUAGAACAGAGGACUUUCGUGUAGGAGAAAGCGAGAUGUUCAUAGUCCACCUUUGUCGUCAGAGUUUGUGUAUUCCCUACGGCAGCAAAAAUAACGUCAAUUAAGGCAGCCACCGGUUCAAACAGUGAGCAUCAGGCUUAUUGUCUGUCUUGGGUGUUCAUUGUAGCAGUAGUGUGAGUACUGGACAACCUUCUGCCACCGUCGUUUACCUCCGACUCGCCAGCCAGCUGCCAUCGUCUACCUCCUGUCUACCUCGUGCCUCGCUGGACAGCGCAGUCGUCAAACUCUGUCUCACCGGGAAGCCACUGCCGUCUACCUCUGCUUUGUACUCCCUCCUUCCGGAAAUACUUGUCGGAGAAA